GACGAACGCUGGCGGCGUGCUUAACACAUGCAAGUCGAACGGAAAGGCCUCUUUCGGGGGGUACUCGAGUGGCGAACGGGUGAGUAACACGUGAGUAACCUGCCCUUGACUUUGGGAUAACUUCAGGAAACUGGGGCUAAUACCGGAUAGGAGCUCCUGCUGCAUGGUGGGGGUUGGAAAGUUUCGGCGGUUGGGGAUGGACUCGCGGCUUAUCAGCUUGUUGGUGGGGUAGUGGCUUACCAAGGCUUUGACGGGUAGCCGGCCUGAGAGGAUGACCGGCCACAUUGGGACUGAGAUACGGCCCAGACUCCUACGGGAGGCAGCAGUGGGGAAUAUUGCACAAUGGGUGGAAGCCUGAUGCAGCAACGCCGGGUGCGGGAUGACGGCCUUCGGGUUGUAAACCGCUUUCGCUCAUGACGAAGCUUUGUGUGACGGUAGUGGGUAAAGAAGCACCGGCUAACUACGUG
rnacentral:rRNA from 1 species